rnacentral:rRNA from 1 species
ACGAACGCUGGCGGCGUGCCUAAUACAUGCAGGUCGAGCGGACGAAUCGAAAGCUUGCUUUUGAUUCGUUAGCGGCGGACGGGUGAGUAACACGUGGGCAACCUGCCCUGUAGACGGGGAUAACACCGAGAAAUCGGUGCUAAUACCGGAUAACACGAAAUGUCGCAUGACGUUUCGUUGAAAGACGGCGCAAGCUGUCGCUACAGGAUGGGCCCGCGGCGCAUUAGCUAGUUGGUGAGGUAACGGCUCACCAAGGCGACGAUGCGUAGCCGACCUGAGAGGGUGAUCGGCCACACUGGGACUGAGACACGGCCCAGACUCCUACGGGAGGCAGCAGUAGGGAAUCUUCCGCAAUGGACGAAAGUCUGACGGAGCAACGCCGCGUGAGCGAAGAAGGCCUUCGGGUCGUAAAGCUCUGUUGUUAGGGAAGAACAAGUAACGCAGUAACUGGCGUUACCGUGACGGUACCUAACGAGAAAGCCACGGCUAACUACGUG